rnacentral:rRNA from 1 species
AGCGAACGCUGGCGGCAGGCCUAACACAUGCCAGUCGAACGAACUCUUCGGAGUUAGUGGCGGACGGGUGAGUAACACGUGGGAACGUGCCUUUUGGUUCGGAAUAACUCAGGGAAACUUGUGCUAAUACCGAAUGUGCCCUUCGGGGGAAAGAUUUAUCGCCAUUAGAGCGGCCCGCGUCUGAUUAGCUAGUUGGUGAGGUAACGGCUCACCAAGGCGACGAUCAGUAGCUGGUCUGAGAGGAUGACCAGCCACACUGGGACUGAGACACGGCCCAGACUCCUACGGGAGGCAGCAGUGGGGAAUCUUGCGCAAUGGGCGAAAGCCUGACGCAGCCAUGCCGCGUGAAAGAUGAAGGUCUUAGGAUUGUAAAAUUCUUUCACCGGGGACGAUAAUGACGGUACCCGGAGAAGAAGCCCCGGCUAACUUCGUG